rnacentral:rRNA from 1 species
GCUAGUUGCACGAGUUCAGACUCGUAGCAUAUAGCUCAGUAACACGUGGCCAAACUACCCUACAGACCGCAAUAACCUCGGGAAACUGAGGCCAAUAGCGGAUAUAACUCUCAUGCUGGAGUGCCGAGAGUUAGAAACGUUCCGGCGCUGUAGGAUGUGGCUGCGGCCGAUUAGGUAGAUGGUGGGGUAACGGCCCACCAUGCCGAUAAUCGGUACGGGUUGUGAGAGCAAGAACCCGGAGACGGUAUCUGAGACAAGAUACCGGGCCCUACGGGGCGCAGCAGGCGCGAAACCUUUACACUGCACGACAGUGCGAUAGGGGGACUCCGAGUGCGAGGGCAUAUAGCCCUCGCUUUUCUGUACCGUAAGGUGGUACAGGAACAAGGACUGGGCAAGACCGGUGCCAGCCGCCGCGGUAAUACCGGCAGUCCAAGUGAUGGCCGAUAUUAUUGGGCCUAAAGCGUCCGUAGCUUGCUGUACAAGUCCGUUGGGAAAUCGACGCGCUCAACUCGUCGGCGUCCAGCGGAAACUGCACAGCUUGGGGCCGAAAGACUUGACGGGUACGUCCGGGGUAGGAGUGAAAUCCUGUAAUCCUGGACGGACCACCAAUGGGGAAACCACGUCAAGAAAACGGACCCGACAGUGAGGGACGAAAGCUAGGGUCUCGAACCGGAUUAGAUACCCGGGUAGUCCUAGCUGUAAACGAUGCUCGCUAGGUGUGUCACACGCUAUGAGCAUGUGAUGCGCCCUAGUGAAGACGAUAAGCGAGCCGCCUGGGAAGUACGUCUGCAAGGAUGAAACUUAAAGGAAUUGGCGGGGGAGCACCACAACCGGAGGAGCCUGCGGUUUAAUUGGACUCAACGCCGGAAAUCUCACCGGUCCCGACAGUAGUAAUGACGGUCAGGUUGACGACUUUACUCGACGCUACUGAGAGGAGGUGCAUGGCCGCCGUCAGCUCGUACCGUGAGGCGUCCUGUUAAGUCAGGCAACGAGCGAGACCCACACUUCUAGUUGCCAGCAA